rnacentral:tRNA from 1 species
CUUUGUCCCAUGGUGUAACGGUAGCACAUCUGACUCUGACUCAGCUAGUCGAGGUUCAAAUCCUUGUGGGACAA